UACGGAGGGUGCGAGCGUUGUCCGGAAUCACUGGGCGGAAAGGGCGCGUAGGCGGCGCGGGCAGUCAACGGUGAAAGCUUGGGGCUCAACCCCGAGUCGGCCGUCGAUACUCCCGGGCUGGAGCACUGUAGAGGCAGGUGGAAUUCCGGGUGUAGCGGUGGAAUGCGUAGAGAUCCGGAAGAACACCGGUGGCGAAGGCGGCCUGCUGGGCAGUAGCUGACGCUGAGGCGCGACAGCGUGGGGAGCAAACAGG
rnacentral:rRNA from 1 species